rnacentral:rRNA from 1 species
AUACGUAGGGAGCGAGCGUUGUCCGGAAUUACUGGGCGUAAAGGGCGCGUAGGCGGUUUGGCAAGUCACAUGUGAAAUACCCGGGCUCAACCUGGGGGGUGCAUGUGAAACUGCUAGACUUGAGUGUGGCAGAGGAAAGUGGAAUUCCUAGUGUAGCGGUGAAAUGCGUAGAUAUUAGGAGGAACACCAGUGGCGAAGGCGACUUUCUGGGCCAUAACUGACGCUGAGGCUCGAAAGCAUGGGUAGC